CUCACACACUGCUUUAAAGUGUUGUGUUAACCUUUAAACUCCUAGGUCAGACUUUUAUUUUUUAGGCUGACCUCCUCCUUCUUAUGUUAAAAGGUAUAAAGUAAAGGGAUGUACAGGAAGCUCACUCAGGAAACAGGAAAGGUGUUUGCACACUCCUGCACAAUGCAGUUAUUAGCAGCUUGAAGAGGUUGUUGGGGAGGUUUAUGCUCAGAAGUAUUGUCACGGUAAUACAGAAAAUAGCUGGAGCUACAUUAUUAUCUUUUAAAAAGGUGGGGGAUG
ensembl:lncRNA